UCAGAUCUAUCUCUGAUGAAGGAUUUACUUCCUUCAGGUUGGCCAGACCCCAUCUAAAAGCUAGACCCCAAUGAAAAACACAGGUCUUCAUUUUCAAGGACCUCUAGAGAAAGAAUUAAUUUCUAUGUGCCUUAUCCAUCAACUAUAAUUAGAUGAAAUCUGAGUUUGCAGGAUAUAAAAGAUUUUCAUUUGACAGUUAUUUUAUGGGUCAUGCAUGCAUUUGUGUGAUACAUAUUAGUGGCUUAA
rnacentral:lncRNA from 1 species